CCUACGGGGAGCAGCAGUGGGGAAUAUUGGUCAAUGGGCGCAAGCCUGACCCAGCAACGCCGCGUGAAGGAAGAAGGCGUCCGGGUUGUAAACUUCUUUUCUGCGGGACGAAGAAAGUGACGGUACCUCAUGAAUAAGCCACGGCUAACUACGUGCCAGCAGCCGCGGUAAGACGUAGGUGGCAAGCGUUAAUCGGAUUUAUUGGGUGUAAAGGGGGGGUAGGCGGGAAAGCAAGUCAGAGGGGAAAACUCAGGGCUCAACCCUGGGCCUGCAUUUGAAACUGUUUUUCGUGAGUGCUGGAGAGGCAAUCGGAAUUCGGUGUGUAGCGGUGAAAUGCGUAGAUAUACGGAGGAACACCAGUGGCGAAGGCGGAUUGCUGGCCAGUAACUGACGCUGAGGCGCGAAAGCGUGGGGAGCAAACAGGAUUAGAUACCCGAGUAGUC
rnacentral:rRNA from 1 species